AUUCCCGUGAUCCUGAAGAGUGAGGUGGGCAUCAGAGCGGACGGAGACGCUGAAGAGGGACUUCAGGAGCCUGAUCAAGACAGUGCGCAGCAUAUCGCCUGCAUGAUGAUCAUCGUGUCAGGACCACUUCCCACGUAUAGAUGAGGACAUGAAAGGCUUUUUAGAUCUCCUGUUGGACAACAUCUCCAGGACACUUCGCUCCAUAUGACUAGGCAGUUUGUGAAAAGAGAUAAUCAAGAGAAGUCAGUUCCAGAUCCACCCUCCACGCCAGACCUCUCUCUCACGAGGAUUGCUGUCUACUAGCAUAUUGUGUUCUUCAGCUCUUCAGACUUCGGUGGAUGCAGAUAUUACUCAGGGACAUGAACACUAGAAUAUUGCAAGAAUAGAGAAAAGGGACUUUGCGGGGGAUUCUUGAAAAUAGAUAAGCUUCACACAGACGUCUUCUAACUGUCACAGUACUUACAGAACAAUAAUGAAGUUUCACAGCAUGAAGAUGGAGGAGAUUAAUAAAAUCAUCAGAGAUUUAUUGCGGAGCACGUACAGAGGACAAGACAUUGAGUAUGUGGAGAUACGCUCUGAUGUGGAUGAGAACACCUCCGCUGGCCUGAAAAGAAGGACCUAUAACUAUAGAGUGGUAAUGGUCAAAUGAGACACUGCUUUCAAAAAGCCGCUACAUGCAUUAUGGGUUUCUCUAGAAAAAUGCAGGGUAUGUUUGUGCACUCUUACCUCUACAUUGAAAAGUAAUUUUUUUAAGGUCACUCUUAGAAUCACCCAUGGAUUCCCAUUAAAUAUAUAUAAUAAUUUAUGCAUAUUUAAUGAAAAUAUUAUCUAUGCAGUACACACACAUUAUCUGUUCACAGAGCUUUCGUUAGAUUUUGGAGAUAAGAAGAGGAUGCUGACACUUCUUUCAGUCAAACCACACCUGGCUCGUGGUUUUAUUGGUUGAUAGAUCAAACUGUUAGUAGGUCGGAGUGUGUAACUGCAAAAUGAAAGCAAAGUUGUUUAUUUUUAUUAAUUCCAAUAAAAUGCUUAUAAUAUUACUGUGUGUUUGUAUGCAGGUUCUUGCCUCUCUCAUGAUAUGGUUGGCUCUGGCUGGGACCUUUUGUGGGACCUGAACUGUGGGAUUCUGGCACCUAGACAGAGAGAAUAUAGAGUCUUUGGCACAUGCACUUAUAUGCAAAGUAUUUUUAAAAAAAAAAAGAAGAAGAAAAUACAGCCAGCCUUUAAACAGGAAACUAAGGAGGAUAGCUCUUCCUGUUAUCUUGAUGUUGUACCUCUUCGGUUUCUGCUGGAGGUUUUAAAGGGGUUAGUUCAGCGAAAAAUGAAAAUUAUGUCAAUAAUAAGUCACCCUCAUGUCAUUCCAAACCUGUAAGACCUCCGUUCAUCUUCAGAACUCAGUUUAAGAUAUUUUAGAUUUAGUCCGAGAGCUUUCAGUCCCUCCAUUGAAGCUGUGUGUAUACUGUCCAUGUCCAGAAAGGUAAGAAAAACAUCAUCAAAGUAGUCCAUGUGACAUCAGAGGGUCAGUUAGAAUUGUUUGAAGCAUCGAAAAUACAUUUUGGUCCAAAAAUAGCGAAAACUAUGACUUUAUUCAGCAUUGUCUUCUCUUCUGGGUCUGUUGUGAGCGCGUUCACUGCAGUUUAUUGUUAUCGUUUUAAACUGUUCGUGUCUCCAAUACGCAUUAGUCCACAAAUGACUUAAGCUGUUAACUUUUAUUAAUGUGGCUUACACUCCCUCUGAGUUAAAACAAACCAAUAUCCCGGAGUAAUUAAUUUACUCAAACAGUACACUGACUGAACUGCUGUGAAGAGAGAACUGAAGAUGAACACUGAAGGAAUCUAAAUCUGAGAUCACAGUUUUUGGCCCACUGGCCUCUAUUAAUAUGAUCAACAAUCAAGGCCUGCUAUCUGCUAAUUUGAAUGGACAUGUAAAAAACGUAGGAGUGAUUGUUGAUGACAAACUAAAGUUUGAUAAGCAAAUCAGCACAGUUGUAAAAAAAAAUGUUGAUGUUUUUACCAUCUUAGAUCCAUUUAGAAAUUUGAAAACCUUUUUAAUGGCAAAGGACUUAUGAAAGAGACUCUGAUUCAUGCUUUUGUCACUGCUAGGCUCGAUAACUGUAAUUUGUACCUUGGUGUGUGUCUAAAUCUUCUUUAUCUUGUCUGCAACUGGUUCAGAAUGCCACUGCCAGGUUUCUUAUCGGAACGAGAAAGAGAGACCAUAUUUCACUGAUUCUUGCUUCAUUACACUGGCUGCCAGUCGAAUUUCACAUCAAAUUUAAGGUGUUACUGUUUGUUUAUAAAGGAUUACAUGGUCAAGCUCCUGAAUAUCUUACAGAUCUCCUUUUACCUAGAAACUGCUCUAGAGUGUUACAGUGUUCAGUAUGAUGCUCUCUGUGCCUCGAUCUCGUCUUAAAUUAAAAGGGGAUUGUGCUUUCUUUGAUUAGAUCGUGGAGUGAUUUACCAGCAUAUAUUAGGCUGACUCCUGAUAUUGGAAGUUUUAUGCUGUCUGUAUCUGUUUUGUGAAGUUAUGAUUUAAGCACUUUGGUCAGAACUUGCUGUUCUGAAUGUGCUUUAGAAAUAAAUUUGCCUUGCCUGGAGGAACAUCGCUAAACAACAACUUGUAUUACUUUUGGUUUCUUUGCAGAAUAAUUAAGAGUCAUUCUCACCAACGCAACUUCCAGCUCCUUGUUAUCACCCACGAUGAGGAUUUUGUGGAGCUCCUGGGACGAUCCAACUAUGUUGAGCAUUUCUACAGGAUCAGAAAGAACCAGGACCAGUGCUCAGAGAUCACAAAGUGUAACAUUAACACUCUUAACUCCUACCUGCACUGAUGCAUCAGAUCAGAUGAGAGAAGAAAGACUGUUAGUCUACAGAGGUGAUGGAAUCAGUUCAGUUCUUGUUCAGACGGUUGUGAAGCAUGAUUAAAACAAGGCUUAUCAGCCUCCCUGCAUCUACCAACUAAAA